AAAAGGAGUGAAAAGCUCGUUUGUGCGUGUGGAGCCCGUAGAGCCUUAGAUCGGUCGAUCCACAUAUACCGGAUCGGUCGAUCCACAUAUACCGGAUCGGUCGAUCUAGUGCAUGAAAGCAUAAGAUCGGUCGAUUCACAUUUACCGGAUCGGUCGAUCCCACGUCCUGUGCGAUCAAUACUUCAUUCGGUCCAUUGUUCGGUCUAUCUUGCUUCUGAAUAAAUCCCGAAUGCGUUCUUUUCUUUCAAGCUAUCUAGUAACCUGCAUAUUACACUUAAGAACACCAAAACGCAUCAAAUAGACCAAAACAUUAAUUAAAACCGACCAUUUAAUUGCUCCAAAACGAGUUUAAAACCGUUAAAAACACGGAAUAUCAU
rnacentral:lncRNA from 1 species